ensembl:snoRNA
AAGCCAGCCAAUUAAUCUACUCAUCUGAAUGUGUUUCUGUAGAAAUUUAGAAAGAGCUGGAAAUAGUGAUGCCACCCUCCAAACCCUAAGGACAACAGGUCAUUACAAUUCCCAGAAAUGGUUAUGAUA